CGCCAGUGUAUAUCUAUGCUGCUGCGGUUAAAAAGCUCGUAGUUGGAUCUUCGUGCCAGAAACUGGUCCACCUUUUGGGUGUGCACUGGCUUUCGGCACUGAGUCGUCGGUUUUCCUUUGAUGCCCUUAACCGGGUGUCCUUGGUGGCUGACAUGUUUACUUUGAAAAAAUUAGAGUGUUCAAAGCAGGCCUACGCCUGAAUACAUUAGCAUGGAAUAAUAAAAUAGGACGUGUGGUUCUAUUUUGUUGGUUUCUAGAAUCAUCGUAAUGAUUAAUAGGGAUAGUUGGGGGCAUUAGUAUUCAGUUGCUAGAGGUGAAAUUCUUGGAUUUACUGAAGACUAACUACUGCGAAAGCAUUUGCCAAGGAUGUUUUCAUUAA
rnacentral:rRNA from 1 species